ACUUAUUUCGUCUGGUAUAAAAUACGGAACGCUUUUGUAGAAGUACUUCUUGGGAUAUGUCUAUUAAAAUACGCUCCUGGUUUCUGAUCGUCCAAAACACCAACCUGGACGUAAUGAGUGACAUAAAUAAGCAGUAAAGGAAACCUUUCUGUCAGUUGGAAAAUUAAAAGGGGCGACUAGAAAACGAUGAUGUUAACCGUAGAAGACGAGUAAAGUCAUGACAAGAUUAAAGCGGAGGAAGACGGCGCCAAAUAGUUAAAAAAAGAAAAAGAAAGGGUUUUAAUACUUAUAUUUAGUUUUGUUUUUUUUAGGAUGCCCGAAAAAUUUGCAUUGGUGUGGGUUGAUCCUAACGGAGACUGAAGCGCACAAAACAAACGUUUGCCCAUGAUCAUCCCAGAACGGCCAAUUCUUAGCUCACCCUGGCAUAUAUAUAAACAGGUCACAGGACUUGUCUAGACGGCAAACAACCAAAGAGCCCAACUACCCAACCUUACUGUCUUAAUACUAUACCCCUCUCCAUUUCCCCCACGAUGAAGGUUAAAGGAAUCUGUAAUGUUUGUAAUAUGGUUGCGAACUA